rnacentral:tRNA from 1 species
AAAAAUUUAGUUAAAAUAUAACAUUAAUUUGUCAAAUUAAAAUAAUCAUAAAUUGAUAAUUUUUA